GAACAGGCUACUCGUCAUUCAGUUGGCUGCGAAGGUUUCCUUGGAUGGUGGCCUCGUGAGGAUGAAAAUAUACCUUCUGGUACUAGUGAGCGAUACAAUCAGUUGUUGAAGUUAUUAUUGCACAAUCCACGACAUGAUGUAGCCUCUCUUGCUACUUAUAUACUUAUUGUUGAAGUUAUUAUUGCACAAUCCGCGGCAUGAUGUAGCCUCUCUUGCUACUUAUAUACUUCAUCGUUUGCGGUUUUAUGAAGUUUCUUCCAGAUAUGAG
rnacentral:lncRNA from 1 species